rnacentral:rRNA from 1 species
AACGAACGCUGGCGGCAGGCUUAACACAUGCAAGUCGAGCGCCCCGCAAGGGGAGCGGCAGACGGGUGAGUAACGCGUGGGAAUCUACCCAUCCCUACGGAACAACUCCGGGAAACUGGAGCUAAUACCGUAUACGCCCUUCGGGGAAGGAUUUAUUCGGGGAGUGGAUGAGCCCGCGUUGGAUUAGCUAGUUGGUGGGG